GAUGAACGCUGGCGGCGUGCCUAAUACAUGCAAGUCGAGCGAACAGACGAGGAGCUUGCUCCUCUGACGUUAGCGGCGGACGGGUGAGUAACACGUGGAUAACCUACCUAUAAGACUGGGAUAACUUCGGGAAACCGGAGCUAAUACCGGAUAAUAUAUUGAACCGCAUGGUUCAAUAGUGAAAGACGGUUUUGCUGUCACUUAUAGAUGGAUCCGCGCCGCAUUAGCUAGUUGGUAAGGUAACGGCUUACCAAGGCAACGAUGCGUAGCCGACCUGAGAGGGUGAUCGGCCACACUGGACCUGAGACACGGUCCAGACUACUACGGGAGGCAGCAGUAGGGAAUCUUCCGCAAUGGGCGAAAGCCUGACGGAGCAACGCCGCGUGAGUGAUGAAGGUCUUCGGAUCGUAAAACUCUGUUAUUAGGGAAGAACAAAUGUGUAAGUAACUAUGCACGUCUUGACGGUACCUAAUCAGAAAGCCACGGCUAACUACGUG
rnacentral:rRNA from 1 species